rnacentral:rRNA from 2 species
CUGGUGUCAGCCGCCGCGGUAAUACCAACACCCCGAGUGGUCGGGACGAUUAUUGGGCCUAAAGCAUCCGUAGCCGGCCUUACAAGUCCUCCGUUAAAUCCAGCUGCUUAACAGAUGGGCUGCGGAGGAUACUAUAAGACUAGGAGGCAGGAGAGGCAAGCGGUACUCAGUGGGUAGGGGUAAAAUCCGUUGAUCCAUUGAAGACCACCAGUGGCGAAGGCGGCUUGCCAGAAUGCGCUCGACGGUGAGGGAUGAAAGCUGGGGGAGCAAACCGGAUUAGAUACCCGGGUAGUCCCAGCUGUAAACGAUGCAGACCCGGUGAUGGACUAGCUUUAUGCUGGUCCAGUGCCGCAGGGAAGCCGUUAAGUCUGCCGCCUGGGUAGUACGGUCGCAAGACUGAAACUUAAAG